CACCUACGGGUGGCAGCAGUGGGGAAUUUUGGACAAUGGGGGGCAACCCUGAUCCAGCCAUGCCGCGUGUGCGAAGAAGGCCUUCGGGUUGUAAAGCACUUUUGGCAGGAACGAAACGGUUUGCGUUAAUACCGCGAACUAAUGACGGUACCUGCAGAAUAAGCACCGGCUAACUACGUGCCAGCAGCCGCGGUAAUACGUAGGGUGCAAGCGUUAAUCGGAAUUACUGGGCGUAAAGCGUGCGCAGGCGGUUAUAUAAGACCGAUGUGAAAUCCCCGGGCUCAACCUGGGAACUGCAUUGGUGACUGUAUAGCUAGAGUGUGUCAGAGGGGGGUAGAAUUCCACGUGUAGCAGUGAAAUGCGUAGAGAUGUGGAGGAAUACCGAUGGCGAAGGCAGCCCCCUGGGAUAACACUGACGCUCAUGCACGAAAGCGUGGGGAGCAAACAGGAUUAGAUACCCUGGUAGUCCACGCCCUAAACGAUGUCUACUAGUUGUUGGGAGGGUAACCUCUUAGUAACGCAGCUAACGCGUGAAGUAGAC
rnacentral:rRNA from 1 species